rnacentral:rRNA from 1 species
UGGCGACCGGCGCACGGGUGAGUAACACGUAUCCAACCUGCCGAUGACUCGGGGAUAGCCUUUCGAAAGAAAGAUUAAUACCCGAUGGCAUAGUUCUUCCGCAUGGUAGAACUAUUAAAGAAUUUCGGUCAUCGAUGGGGAUGCGUUCCAUUAGCUUGUUGGCGGGGUAACGGCCCACCAAGGCAUCGAUGGAUAGGGGUUCUGAGAGGAAGGUCCCCCACAUUGGAGCUGAGACACGGUCCAAACUCCUACGGAAGGCAGCAG